rnacentral:tRNA from 1 species
AAAAGUAAAGCAAUCUGAGAUGCAUCUUAUUUACAGUAAGGAAGAGAGUUGUUUGAUUCAACUUAUUUUUA